UCUCUUGGAAUUUUUAGUAUAAAUUUCAGUGACUGCCUGUACGUAAUAAUUGGUGAGGUUAUUAAUUUGAUUGAAAGUUCAAAAAUGGCUGGUAAGAAUAUAGGUAAGAAGACUGCUGUUAAACAGCCACCUAAGCAGGCGGAAGUUAAGAAACCUAAUCAAAAGAAAAACGAAGCUGAGAAUGAAAGUACAACGAAGAAAGGAGAAAAAGG